CAAUAGCGUAUAUUAAAGUUGUUGCAGUUAAAAAGCUCGUAGUUGAAUUUCUGGUGGGCGCGCCGGUCUUCCAAGUGUUGUACUGGGCGCAGUCCGCCAUCCUUGUGGAGAGGGCUCGCAUUGAGUUGCGUGUCGGAUCUGCAUCAUUUACUGUGAAAAAAUUAGAGUGUUUAAAGCAGGCUGUCGCUUGAAUACAUUAGCAUGGAAUAAUAAGAUAGGACUUCGGUCUAUUUUGUUGGUUGCGAACCGAGGUAAUGAUUAAUAGGGAUAGUUGGGGGUAUUCAUAUUUAAUUGUCAGAGGUGAAAUUCUUGGAUUUAUGAAAGAUGAACAACUGCGAAANCANNNACCAAGGAUGUUUUCAUNAA
rnacentral:rRNA from 1 species